AUACGGAGGGUGCAAGCGUUACUCGGAAUCACUGGGCGUAAAGCGCGCGCAGGCGGGCUGAUAAGUUGGAUGUGAAAGCCUACGGCUCAACCGUAGAACUGCAUCCAAAACUGUCAGUCUAGAGUCUGUGAGGGGAAGAUGGAAUUAGUUGUGUAGGGGUAAAAUCCGUAGAGAUAACUAGGAAUACCAAAAGCGAAGGCGAUCUUCUGGAACAGUACUGACGCUGAGGCGCGAAAGCGUGGGGAGCAAACAGGAUUAGAAACCCUAGUAGUCC
rnacentral:rRNA from 1 species